UACGUAGGGUGCGAGCGUUGUCCGGAAUUACUGGGCGUAAAGAGCUUCGUAGGUGGUUUGUCGCGUUGUCCGUGAAAACUCACAACUCAAUUGUGGGCGUGCGGGCGAUACGGGCAGACUGGAGUACUGCAGGGGAGACUGGAAUUCCUGGUGUAGCGGUGGAAUGCGCAGAUAUCAGGAGGAACACCGGUGGCGAAGGCGGGUCUC
rnacentral:rRNA from 1 species